rnacentral:tRNA from 1 species
GGUAGUGUAGCUCAGUGGUAGAGCAACUCCCUCAUAAGGAGGAGGUCGGUGGAUCGUACCCACCCAUUACCA